rnacentral:lncRNA from 1 species
UCUGGUGCUUAUUUUUCUUGCCCACGUCGUUCACUGUUCAUGAGAGCGCCAGUAUUGUUUGAGGAUUUUAGCCAAAAUUAUUAUUGAAAAUUCAACUUUCUUGUAGCAAACUCCACAAACUUUUACACAUAUCCAUUGAUUUUGAUCAAAAUCCUUAGCUUUUCAAUCACCAAAAACAAAACCCAAAAUCUCCCAUAUCCCAAAUUCUGAAAAUUAGUAGAGGAAGUGGAAAAGUUCCUUGUCGACGGUAAGUUUUUAAGUUUCAUGUGUAUUUUGAUUGAUAUUCGAAAUGAAAUUCGGUUAAGUUUGGAGAGUUUCAGUAAUGGACAGCGAGUAUCGAAUUAGUGUAGCAUAGUUCGCAACUUCGUUGCUUGUCAGGUUCGAAUUAAUGUUUAUUAUGAUUGAUUUUUGAAUAUUAUUGCUAAAAUCGUGUAUCAAAUAUUCGUUUUGAAGCAAAUAAGAUUGUCAAGUCAUCAAAAGCGAAGGGCUAGGCGGUCAUAUGCGACAAGUAAUCGUUUCUAAGCACCCAGUGUUUAGG